rnacentral:rRNA from 1 species
AAUCAACGCUGGCGGCGUGCCUCAGACAUGCAAGUCGAACGAUUAAGACUUCCUUCGGGAAGUGCAUAAAGUGGCGCACGGGUGAGUAACACGUAAGUAAUCUACCCUCGAGUGGGGAAUAACGUUCGGAAACGAACGCUAAUACCGCAUAAUGCAGCGGCAUCGUAAGAUGACAGUUGUUAAAGGAGUAAUUCGCUUGAGGAGGAGCUUGAGGCAGAUUAGCUAGUUGGUAAGGUAACGGCUUACCAAGGCUACGAUCUGUAUCCGGUCUAAGAGGACGGUCGGACACACUGACACUGAAUAACGGGUCAGACUCCUACGGGAGGCAGCAGUCGGGAAUUUUGGGCAAUGGGCGAAAGCCUGACCCAGCAACGCCGCGUGAAGGAUGAAGUAUUUCGGUAUGUAAACUUCGAAAGAAUGGGAAGAAUAAAUGACGGUACCAUUUAUAAGCUCCGGCUAACUACGUGCCAGCCGCCGCAGUAAUAC